rnacentral:rRNA from 1 species
UAACUGAAGAGUUUGAUCAUGGCUCAGAUUGAACGCUGGCGGCAGGCUUAACACAUGCAAGUCGAGCGGGGGAAGGUAGCUUGCUACUGGACCUAGCGGCGGACGGGUGAGUAAUGCUUAGGAAUCUGCCUAUUAGUGGGGGACAACAUCUCGAAAGGGAUGCUAAUACCGCAUACGUCCUACGGGAGAAAGCAGGGGAUCUUCGGA